UCUCCUGGAUCAUCUACAUAAGUCCUAGUAGGAGUGGUUGUGGGUCUGGUUGUUGCUGGUGUUCUACUGGUCAUUCUCCUGGUCCUGCUGGUGAGAUAUCAAACAGCAAAGGCCCCCUCAGCCCCAGAGAACCAACCAGGACCCCCAACAGGAACAAGGAUCUACCCAGGGCCAGGCUCCUGAUACUGGGUAUACACAUCAGCAGCAUGGUGAUGCUACCAUCUACGAUACGAUCAACCCCUCAGACAACAAUGAUAAUGGAGGUGUAAUGUAAUGUUUUCAGUAUGAAUGUGUAGUAGUCUGCUGCUCUUCAUUUAAUAUGACAUGUAGAGUUUGACUAAGUUGAGGUGUUUGUGUAUUAUGUCUCAGAUGCUGCUGACUUACGCCCAGAUUCAACUGAACAAGUUGGGCAAGAAAAAG